UGUUGCAAACCUGCCAAAAGAAGCACCGACUUUGAAUAAUGUUUUCUGCUAAUUCAGUUUUAUUCACCUACAUACUUUUUCUCCUUUUAUUAUUUAAAAAAAUGUUUUAACUUCAAAAUAUCGGAUUGCGACAACAUGUGACAAUUGAAAUUAGUGGGUGCUUAAAUUAAAUGCUGAUUUCGAGAAGUGGGUACAUUAAUCAAUACAUAUUAAUAUAAGAAUGUAUUUUCAAUUGUAUUAAGUUAGAACGGGCAAAAUUCGUGUGCUACACAAGCAAAAUAAAUCAUUUUAUUUUUGUACUUAUCCGGACUUCGUGUUAUCCGAAAAAAUGUUAAUAAAUGACAAAAAAACUUAAUAAUUUGACAGUUAAAAUCUCUUUUUAAGUUAAAUUUCAUUCAUUUAUAAGUGGAAAUUUUGUGGAUAUGAGAAUUUAAAUAAUUUCCUCCAAAAUCUCCAGAUAUACUGUAUGGUCGAUUGUUCCUUAAAAGCAAGAGAAAUCUUAUUUUAAUUAUCAAGACUGUCCUUGUGCUCGGAAGCAUGCGUGCAGAUGAAGAACUUACUUGCGAUGGGUAUAGCAGGAUACCAUUUCUCCUGGAACUUGGCAAAUGUUCUUGUCCCAGGCAUUGACCCUUCCCGAUCAGCGGCAGUGCUGACAAACGACCAGUUGUUCUCCAAAGUCCAAUAAACAAGCACUUUCACUUUUCAGCCAUUUUGAUUUUUCCCUCGUUUAAAACUAACCGCACAUGUAUUCGUGUUAUCUAUUGGUUGCUAAAUAUAAACUUUGGGUUAGGUGGCGCUAAAGAUAACGUGAUUUUCUAAACCGGAAGUAUAGAAAGAUAACACUUGAAGAAACUGUAAACAUGCGAUUUUGGUGGAUUUCGAGGUUUUCAGAAGCUGAAGAAGGUUGUGUAGUUUGGUAUCAGAAUAAAUAGACGUAUUGCUUGUAGGACAUUGACGGCUGAGGAACUUGAAAUUAACUGUAGAGUGCUACCUUAAACAUGUAUGAGUGUGACAAUUUCUAUGACCAUGAAAAUACAAGGAAGAGUAAUUCGGACAUAAAUUUGGAUGUAAACAAUAAACUACAAGUUAACAGAUCUGUAUAUCAGAACUAAAAGUACUGAAAUGAUUGCUGAUGCGAACCCUGUUGGUUAGAUUUUCUAUCAAGAGUCUGUCCAAAUAAUACUGGUCAACUUAUGUCAGGUGAUGAAAAACCCUCUGGCACUGAAUAUUCAAAAGGAAAUUUUGCAUCUAAAGAAGAACAAUGCUAUGUUCUUGCUAAGAUUGGUUUGAACAAUGUAAAAGAUUAUAGAACAACACACAGAUUAUUACGACAAAGGAAAAUUUCUUUAUUCCGAUAAGUACAAACAAAUGAAAAAAACUGUUACACUGUUUUGUGCCUGGAUAGUGUGAUAUUAGCUUUAUCAUAUUUCAUAGAAAAUAUUGUGGAUGAGAAGUUGUUUGCUGUUGGACAUAUAUGUACAAUAACAGAACUAGUACAUCCUUUUUGUGAUGUUGGAUACCAUCUGUUAAGAAUGAAAACUGAAGAGGAUGUUCAUGUUGAUAAGAUAAUUGAAGAAGUGUUUGUUAUUCAAACUGAAAAUACAUUUUUUUAAGUUAGUUGUGUUCCAAAUUUGUUCAAGUGACUGGCGUAUCUUAGAUUACAUCAUUUGAAUCGCAGUUUGAGACAGUAAAAUAUAAGUCUAAUAUUACAAAAUACAACUUUAAUGUGACAUUUAGUGUUAAUUAUUAUAGGCACAAUCCCUGUGGUAGAGUGAUUUACGGGUCACUUCUUCAAAUCUGUCUUUCAUAAUAGAUACUAAAAUGAUAUGUUAACUAAAAAGCAUUGAUUUUGGAUACAAAUAAAUUCAGAUUCUUGAA